UCCAAAACAAAACUUCACGAGAACUGC
rnacentral:piRNA from 1 species